rnacentral:rRNA from 1 species
GACCCUGGUAGUCCACGCUGUAAACGAUGUCGACUUGGAGGUUGUUCCCUUGAGGAGUGGCUUCCGGAGCUAACGCGUUAAGUCGACCGCCUGGGGAGUACGGCCGCAAGGUUAAAACUCAAAUGAAUUGACGGGGGCCCGCACAAGCGGUGGAGCAUGUGGUUUAAUUCGAUGCAACGCGAAGAACCUUACCUACUCUUGACAUCCAGAGAACUUAGCAGAGAUGCUUUGGUGCCUUCGGGAACUCUGAGACAGGUGCUGCAUGGCUGUCGUCAGCUCGUGUUGUGAAAUGUUGGGUUAAGUCCCGCAACGAGCGCAACCCUUAUCCUUUGUUGCCAGCGGUUCGGCCGGGAACUCAAAGGAGACUGCCAGUGAUAAACUGGAGGAAGGUGGGGAUGACGUCAAGUCAUCAUGGCCCUUACGAGUAGGGCUACACACGUGCUACAAUGGCAUAUACAAAGAGAAGCGACCUCGCGAGAGCAAGCGGACCUCAUAAAGUAUGUCGUAGUCCGGAUCGGAGUCUGCAACUCGACUCCGUGAAGUCGGAAUCGCUAGUAAUCGUGGAUCAGAAUGCCACGGUGAAUACGUUCCCGGGCCUUGUACACACCGCCCGUCACACCAUGGGAGUGGGUUGCAAAAGAAGUAGGUAGCUUAACCUUCGGGAGGGC